AAGUCGUAACAAGGUUUCCGUAGGUGAACCUGCGGAAGGAUCAUUAAAGAGAUAGGGUCCUUCGGGGCCCGACCUCCAACCCUUUGUCUACCAAACCUCUGUUGCCUCGGCGGGUCGUCGGUUACCCUCACGGGUGCCGCCGUCGGCCUUUGCGCUCUCGAGUGCCCGCCGCAGGACUAUUUAAACUCUUUGUUAAACGAGUAUAAUCUGAGUGGAAUUUAAUGCUUAAUUAAAA
rnacentral:misc_RNA from 1 species